AACGCUGGGUAACCUGCCUCAUACAGGGGGAUAACAGUUAGAAAUGACUGCUAAUACCGCAUUAAGCGCACAGGACCGCAUGGUCUGGUGUGAAAAACUCCGGUGGUAUGAGAUGGACCCGCGUCUGAUUAGCUAGUUGGUGGGGUAACGGCCUACCAAGGCGACGAUCAGUAGCCGACCUGAGAGGGUGACCGGCCACAUUGGAACUGAGACACGGUCCAAACUCCUACGGGAGGCAGCAGUGGGGAAUAUUGCACAAUGGGCGAAAGCCUGAUGCAGCAACGCCGCGUGAAGGAAGAAGGUCUUCGGAUCGUAAACUUCUGUCCUUAGGGAAGAUAAUGACGGUACCUUUGGAGGAAGCCCCGGCUAACUACGUG
rnacentral:rRNA from 1 species